CGCCUACGGGACGCAGCAGUGAGGGAUAUUGGUCAAUGGGGGAAACCCUGAACCAGCAACGCCGCGUGAGGGAAGACGGUUUUCGGAUUGUAAACCUCUGUCCUCUGUGAAGAUGAUGACGGUAGCAGAGGAGGAAGCUCCGGCUAACUACGUGCCAGCAGCCGCGGUAAUACGUAGGUGGCAAGCGUUGUUCGGAAUAACUGGGCGUAAAGGAUGCGUAGGCGGUUAAACAAGUUAUAUGUUAAAUAUAUAGGCUUAACCUGUAGAAAGCAUAUAAAACUGUUUAACUAGAGUGCAGGAGAGGG
rnacentral:rRNA from 1 species